UACAGAGGGGGCAAGCGUUGUUCGGAAUUACUGGGCGUAAAGGGCGCGUAGGCGGCCUUCUAAGUCGAACGUGAAAUCCCUGGGCUCAACCCAGGAACUGCGUCCGAUACUGGGAGGCUUGAAUCCGGGAGAGGGAUGCGGAAUUCCAGGUGUAGCGGUGAAAUGCGUAGAUAUCUGGAGGAACACCGGUGGCGAAGGCGGCAUCCUGGACCGGUAUUGACGCUGAGGCGCGAAAGCCAGGGGAGCAACGGG
rnacentral:rRNA from 1 species